rnacentral:lncRNA from 1 species
AGAGCCCAAGGUAGAACUCCAAGCUGAGAAGAACAUAUUCUUCUAGAGAAGAUCCUAUGUCAUGUGAAUGCACCACCAUUUUGGAAGUUUAGCCCAACACAUGAUGGGGAAGAUCAUUCUGCAUGGAAGAACUCUACCCAAAAGGCGAGGAUAACAGCGAGCUGCGAAUCCUUCUCCUCGGGGCGAGCUUCAAGGGCCCUUCCACACGGGCCGUUUUAUUUGGAUUUAGACGGCUAACAGCUGCAAAUCAUGCGCUCGCCCAUCCCCACGCCGCGCCUUUCUUUCCUCCCGCCUCUCUCUCUCUCUCUCUCUCUUUCUUUCCCAAGGAAUCUGAGAAGACCUGCGUUUAAUGAAACGUGAAGUGUGAAAACUUCCUGAGCUGCCGAAGCGACUCCUAAUGAUGUUCCCAGAUGUGGCGGCGGACUGGAGCAAGGGGCGAUGGCUGUUAGAACCUCACCUUCCCGGGCGCACCGUUAGGGCCCGGCGAGCGGGAAAGCUCUCCAAGCCGUGCGUAAUUGCGCACGGGAGAGGUUCUGCUUUUAUUUUGUUUGCCUGCCUGCCUUUGCGGUGGGCAGCUCUCGCCCUGGAAAAAGAAUAAGUCUUUGUAAUCUUUCUCUCUCUCUUUAAUUUCUUUUCACCCCCGUGGCUCAUUGCGUGGAUCUGGGUUUUGAAAAGCGGGGGGGGGGACUUAUGGAGAGCCGGAUCCUCGGUUUAGAAAAGGAAAGCUGCCGGCGCUUUCGAGCUGUUCCGGUGAAAUUCAAUUUUCGCUGAAUUCUAAAGAUCUUCUCGCUGAUUCCCUUCCAGGCUGCUACGCGGUGCAAAGACAGAACUUGAAGGAACAGCUCCUGGCCAAACUGCUGAGCGGCACCCCUCGUCAUGCGCCCCAUUUCAAGAGCGCAACGGCUCUGAACCGGAUCGCUGGCGGGGAUUUCACGGAGAGGCCAGCUUUGUGGUCUCAAGUUAUUGUGGGGGUACCGAUGGGCCUUGGGGAGACCUAGUGGAGGUGUUAACCAGCAGAGACUUCAUGAAUUUUACAUGCAGGGGGAGCUGGCCGGUCGAUUGGAGGGAGUUGGACAAAAAGGGGUCACCUUUUUGAUCCACCCCAAUCGUUGUCCGGCCCCAAGUGCCUUGAAUUUUCAGAGCAAACCGGUGGACUGAAAACUCAUUAAGGCUGGAAGACAAAAGAAUGUCUUGAGGGGGGUGGGCGGGCGGCUGGUGGCGGCGAGGAAGAACCGUAAGACCAUUUCUGAGCCAGAGGCCUCCUAAUCCGAUUUGAGUGGAAAAUUCACGGCGAGGUGGCCAAGUCCUGCUCUUACACAGAAAUCAUGAUGACAUUGCAACAUUAAAGCA